rnacentral:rRNA from 1 species
GAUGAACGCUAGCUACAGGCUUAACACAUGCAAGUCGAGGGACCGGCACAAGGGUGAGUAACACGUAUCCAACCUGCACUUAACUCGGGGAGAGCCUUUCGACAGGAAGAUUAAUGCCAGAUGUAAAGGAGGGGGAUGCGUUCCAUUAGGUUGUUGGUGAGGUAACGACUCACCAAGCAUUCGUUGGAUAGGGGUUGUAAGAGGAAUGUCCCCCACAUUGGAACUGAGACCCAGUCCCAACCCCGACGUGAGGCUGCAGUGUGUAAUACUGUUCACUGGGCGUUAGCCUGAACCAGCCCAGUAGCGUAAAGAAUUAUGCCUUAUGAGUCGUAAACUUUUUUUAUAUAACAAUCUGUAUUUUAUUAAUAAGGAUCGGCUAACUCCGUGCCAGCAGCCGCGGUAAUAC